GACGAACGCUGGCGGCGUGCUUAACACAUGCAAGUCGUACGGUAAGGCCCUUUCGGGGGUACACGAGUGGCGAACGGGUGAGUAACACGUGCGUAACCUGCCCACAACUUUGGGAUAACGCUAGGAAACUGGUGCUAAUACUGGAUAUGUGCUCCUGCUGCAUGGUGGGGGUUGGAAAGCUCCGGCGGUUGUGGAUGGACUCGCGGCCUAUCAGCUUGUUGGUGGGGUAGUGGCCUACCAAGGCGGCGACGGGUAGCCGGCCUGAGAGGGUGACCGGCCACAUUGGGACUGAGAUACGGCCCAGACUCCUACGGGAGGCAGCAGUGGGGAAGAUUGCACAAUGGGCGCAAGCCUGAUGCAGCAACGCCGCGUGCGGGAUGACGGCCUUCGGGUUGUAAACCGCUUUCAGCAGGGACGAAGCUUUUUGUGACGGUACCUGCAGAAGAAGCACCGGCUAACUACGUG
rnacentral:rRNA from 1 species